rnacentral:tRNA from 1 species
GGGCCUAUAGUCUAGUGGUACGAUGCAGCAUUCGCAUUGCUGAGGCGCGAGUUCGAUUCUCGCUAGGUCCACCA